CUAGCUGAAUUAUGUUUAGAAUAGGACAAAGGACAUUUAGUGUUAUCCGCAUUAAACUAAAAACAAGAAUUCAAACUUAUCUCACUCUUUCUCUUUCUUCACCUUCGUCUACCAUAGAACCUAAGAGAAAUCAGAUUUUCUCCUCCAAUUAAAACCAAAAUCUUGAGUGUUUAGAGCAAGAAUUUAAGCAUCUAAUGAAGAGAUUACCCAAGGUAAGAGCCAGAACUAAAUCAAAAUGAGUUUAUAGCUGGAUGAAGAUUGUACAUACCAAGAAGAGUAUUAACAAGAUCUAAGCUUGGAGCUCCUUCAGGUGUUGGAUUCUUCACAAUCUUCCGCACUUUGUUUGAGUACUUAACUUAAUAUGAGUGGGCAUGUACUCUAUCACUAUAGGGACAAAAUUUAUGAAGAGAAAAAGAGAGAGAGGGAUUCGAAAUAAAGAGAGAGAUGGCUCUUUGUUAAUCUGACAAAUUUGACUGAGAGGCUUAUGUAUCAGUGUCAAAUUAAGAUCCUAUCACUAUCUAUUUAUAAGAAUUCUUCUAGGGUUAAGUUUGAAUUAUAUCAAAUUAAAAAAUGAUAAAUAAAUGGCUAAAUUUCUCCUUAAGUGGCGGACCAUGGGAUGUGGGUCCCACUAGUUAUAAUUUUACCAUUUUAUUCAACAA